rnacentral:rRNA from 1 species
UACGUAGGGGCAAGCGUUGUCCGGAUUUAUUGGGCGUAAAGAGCGUGUAGGCGGCUAGAUAGGUCCGUUGUGAAAACUCGAGGCUCAACCUCGAGACGUCGAUGGAAACCAUCUGGCUAGAGUCCGGAAGAGGAGAGUGGAAUUCCUGGUGUAGCGGUGAAAUGCGCAGAUAUCAGGAAGAACACCCGUGGCGAAGGCGGCUCUCUGGGCCUUACCUGACACUGAGGAGCGAAAGCGUGGGGAGCGAACAGG